rnacentral:rRNA from 1 species
UACGUAGGGUGCGAGCGUUAAUCGGAAUUACUGGGCGUAAAGCGUGCGCAGGCGGCUUUGCAAGACAGAUGUGAAAUCCCCGGGCUCAACCUGGGAACUGCAUUUGUGACUGCAAGGCUAGAGUACGGCAGAGGGGGAUGGAAUUCCGCGUGUAGCAGUGAAAUGCGUAGAUAUGCGGAGGAACACCAAUGGCGAAGGCAAUCCCCUGUGCCUGUACUGACGCUCAUGCACGAAAGCGUGGGGAACAAACAGG